rnacentral:rRNA from 1 species
UGACCACAUCACGUUGAAACACCGGUUCCAGUACGCUCACCGAAGUUAAGCAACGUCAAGCCUGGUCAGUACCUAGAUGGGUAACCACUUGCGAAUACCGUAUGCU